GCCGGCGUAGCUAGUGCACCAAAUCCUGUUCGGGUGGAUCGCGCCUCUCGUAAUGAAGAUGUCCGGGGUUCGAGCCCCGCGCCGGCU
rnacentral:tRNA from 1 species